rnacentral:ncRNA from 1 species
ACGACCCGAAACCGGAUGAUCUAGACAUGGGCAAGGCGAAGCGUGCCGAAAGGCACGUGGAGGCCUGUUAGCGUUGGUGUCCUACAAUACCCUCGCGUGACCUAUGUCUAGGGGUGAAAGGCCCAUCGAAUCCGGAAACAGCUGGUUCCGACCGAAACAUGUCGAAGCAUGACCUCUGCCGAGGUAGUUCGUGGGGUAGAGCGACGGAUUGGGGGACCGCCCUCCGAGAGGAGUGCGCCCCCCUGUCCAACUCCGAACCUACGAACGCCGUUUGACGCAGGGAGUCCGGUGCACGGGGUAAGCCUGUGUACCGUGAGGGAGACAACCCAGAGCUGGGUUAAGGUCCCCAAGUGUGGACUAAGUGCGAUCGAAGGUGGUCCCGAGCCCUAGACAGCCGGGAGGUGAGCUUAGAAGCAGCUACCCUCUAAGAAAAGCGUAACAGCUUACCGGCCGAGGUUCGGGGCGCCCAAAAUGAUCGGGGCUCAAGUCCACCACCGAGACCUAGCCGUACCCGUUACAGGGUAAUCGCGUAGGUCGGCGUUCUGUUCGGGUGGAAGCACGGUCGAGAGAUCGUGUGGACCGUUCAGUAACGAAAAUCCUGGUCAUAGUAGCAGCGUUAGUCGGGUUAGAACCCCGACGGCCGAACGAGUAAGGGUUCCUCAGCAAUGCUGAUCAGCUGAGGGUUAGCCGGUCCUAAGUCUCACCGUAAGUCGAGUGAGUCAACAGGGAAACAGGUUAAUAUUCCUGUGCCAGUGUGCACUCAAAGCUGACGCUUUGGGGCCGCCUGAGCUGGGCUUUCGCCCAGUCGAACCGUCGAAGUUCGUGGAAGCCGUAAUGGCACGAAGCGAGCGAAUGGCGGAAUAGCGCAAGUCAGGUCAACCUAGAGCCCGUGAAAAGGCGAGCACACUGUCCGUACCGAGAUCCGACACAGGUACUCGUGGCGGCGAAAGCCAAGGCCUGUCGGGAUCAACCGACGUUAGGGAAUUCGGCAAGUUAGUCCCGUACGUUCGCAAUAAGGGAUGCCUGCCACGCGAAGUGGCAGGUCGCAGUGACUCGGGCGCUCCAACUGUCUAGUAACAACAUAGGUGACCGCAAAUCCGCAAGGACUCGUACGGUCACUGAAUCCUGCCCAGUGCGGGUAUCUGAACACCCAGUACAAUGGGACGAAGGACCCGUUAACGGCGGGGGUAACUAUGACCCUCUUAAGGUAGCGUAGUACCUUGCCGCUUCAGUAGCGGCUUGCAUGAAUGGAUCAAUGAGAGCGCCACUGUCCCAACGUUGGGCCCGGUGAACUGUACGUUCCAGUGCGGAGUCUGGAGACCCCCAAGGGGAAGCGAAGACCCUAUAGAGCUUUACUGCAGGCUGUCACUGAGACGUGGUCGCCAUUGUGCAGCAUAGGUAGGAGGCGGUACACAGGUACCCGCGCUAGCGGGCCACCGAGCCAGCAUUGAAAUACUACCCGAUGGUGACUGCGACUCUCACUCCUGGCGGAGGACACUGGUAGCCGGGCAGUUUGACUGGGGCGGUACGCGCUUGAAAAGAUAUCGAGCGCGCCCCAAGAUUUCCUCACCCGUGUCGGAGACGCGGGAUAGAGCGCAAGAGCAUACGGAAGUCUGACAGUGUCCGGCCCAACGACGGACGCUGACGCGAAAGCGUGGUCUAGCGAACCAAUUAGGCUGCUUGAUGCGGCCAAUUGCUGACAGAAAAGCUACCUUAGGGAUAACAGAGUCGUCACCCGCAAGAGCACAUAUCGACCGGGUGGCUUGCUACCUCGAUGUCGGUUCCCUCCAUCCUGCCCGUGCAGAAGCGGGCAAGGGUGAGGUUGUUCGCCUAUUAAAGGAGGUCGUGAGCUGGGUUUAGACCGUCGUGAGACAGGUCGGCUGCUAUCUAUUGGGGGUGUUACGGUNCGGUUGUUCGAGAGAGCACGUGCCGGGCAGCCACGCACCACGGGGUAAGAGCUGAACGCAUCUAAGCUCGAAACCCACCUGGAAACGAGGAACCACCGAGGCCACUCCUAGAAGAGGAGUUCGAUAGACUCGGGGUGUACGCGCCAAGGCAACGAGGCGUUGAGCCCGCGAGCACUAAUCGGCCGAGCCACACACUCA